GAACGAUCUGGAGGAGAAUCGGAUUACACACAGGGGCUCACACACAUGUAGGAAAGGAAACUGACCAACAUCCAGCUUUGAGGUUCAAGUGCAUCACUACUGUUGCCCUACGAAAGAACAAGUGGUGGGUCUCCUGUGAUUCAUUUACAGGUUGUGGUCUGAAGAACAUAAAAAUCCAUGGCAACACAAAGCGAAGGGUGCUACUUCUGCCACUCUCCAGGACUCGGCUUGUUCCCGUUGACGAAUUAGCUGCUGCCUUUUGCUUCCUUCAUGAUGACGCACGUGAAGCACUGGACAAGAAAACAGGUGGAAAAUGGAAAUACAAUGAUGAGUCACUGUCUGCGUGUGAAAAAAUGAAAGACCUGGUGGAAGCACGAGCCGCAGACAGAGCAGACAAGAGCUACUAUUUUUUUCUCCCCGGUCCAAAUACAGUUUAUUUUAUGUCAUUUUUUAUUUUUACCCCAAACUACCAAGCCCUUCUUUCCUUUAUCAAUGUCUAUUCAAGACAUUCUUUUCAGUGCUUUGGCACUGAACCUACUGAAUUUAUAUCUAUGAGCAGAAAAGAAAACAUGAACAAACUUCUAUGAUUUACAUGUGUAAGAACUAAUACUUACAGAAUUAGACAGUAUAUUUCCAUAAAAAUGAGAUAUAUAUACUGGAGAAUGGGCGAUGGAAUAACAAGUCACAAAAAAUAAUAUCCUAGUGUUGAGAUAUUCCCUGAAAUGUAAAUCUUGCAUUGUCCCAGGAAUCUUCUACCCAGUAACAGAUUUUGCAUUCAGCCACUUUAUUAUUAAAACAAGUGCACAUAUCCAUUAUUUCUCUCUGGGUAAUUUAAACAUGCUUGUACAAAAUGAAAAGCUUCUUAAAAAUUUGGAAUUAGUAAGUUGGGCUAAUCAGU